UAUGGUGUAAAUAUAAAUUUUUAAUAUAUGUAUAAAUAUAUGGUAUAAAAGCACAAAAGAACUCUUGAAAUUCAAGAAGAGAAUGGUAGUUUGUUAAAACAGUUAUAAAUUUGGGAAAAGCUGCCUUAAAAUUUUUAGGGUAAUAGAUAAAUAAAGAAUGUCUAAGUUAAAUAUGAAUAGGGAUUUUAUGUAUCCUUGUUUUGUGAAAGUAAUUCUAGAUACAUACAAAUUCUUAGUAUGUAGUAAUUGAUGAUGGUUAUAUCUAGGUGAGAUACAAGUAAGUACUUGAAAUAUUGCCUAAAGUCCUCUGUUAUCAGGGCUAAAAUAUGUAAACAUAUUUUAUCUCUGGCCAUGGAGAAAAGUCAGGAAUUGCAGAAGUUCUGCUCACCUUUGGUCCUUCUUUUAAAACUGGAAACACAAUUCUAGGCCCAUUGUCUAGUGAAUGAAAUGUUUUUACUUGCCAUGUCCGCUGUUGAAUAUAGAUCUUAUAAGUUUACAUAGUUUGUUGGAAAUAACAUCUAUGUCUUACCCUGAUAAUUCGUUUCUAAUCUUUUAACCAAAAAAUUAUUGGCACAUUUAAAAUUAUAAUCUGAUGUGGAAACAAUUUUCUUAAUGCAGAUGCAGAUAAUUUUUUCAGAAACAUAUUAACUAUUUAGAACAAAAAGUCUAAUAUAGUCAGUUAAUCUAAGACACAGGUAUUAGUCCUGUUACACUGCAGUUUUUCUUCAAGUGUGGUCUACAGAAUGCUUUGCUUCUGAAUCAUGAAUCUUGUUAAAAAUGCAGUCCUAGGCCUUAUCCUAAAUCCCCUUUUAUAAGGAUUUCUGUUGCUAGAGUUCAGAAACUUGAAUUUUAACAAGUGUCUCUGAAAACAACUUCACUUUAUAUACAACAUAGGGGUUCACGCUUGUAGAAGAAAAUCAGUAUUUGAUUUAAAAAUACUUAAAUUUUCUACUAGUAUGUGAAAUAUCACUAUUUAUAGGAGUCUAUUAGAUUGAUGAUUAUAAAAUAAAUUUAAAGACCAUAAGGUGAAAAGGCAUAGUUUACUGUAAAGUAUAAUGAGUCUCUCUAGCAAGUAGCUGAAAUAUUCUGUUCAACUCAAUGCUAAUUGCAUUAGCCUAGAGAACACCUAAGAUCUGACACACUCAUUAGGGCUUAGCACUCAACCUAUUAAUCACUACUGUGGGGUCACUGAGUAAGACAGAGCGUGUUCAGAGUCUUGGCCUGUGAUGUCAGGACUGGAGUCUCUUGUAGUAAUUAGUUGGCAUCUGGGCUUUGGUAGCAAAGUAUUAUCUUCCCUUCUGAUGUCUGAAUUAAAAAUGAAACUAAUAAAAGGUAUGCAGGAAGGAUGGAAAAGAAUGCAAAUUAUGUUUAUACCUUACUUCAUCCUUAGAAUAAUGGCAUUAAAUUACAGCAACCCAUCUGGAUGUCCAUAUGUUCUCCUGGAGGUCUAGCAAAUUUUAGCAAAUAGGUCAAACAGCAUGGUCACCUCAUUAAUAAAGCACUAAGUAGAGGCAGAAAACAUAUGAUAAUUUAAACUUUCUACACUGUUUAGAAGGACAUUGGGUUUUAUUUUGUAAACAGUGAUUACAUAGGAUUAUCUUUUAGUGCAAUAUUUUUUUUGUAUUCCAUUGAGAUAAUCUAUACAUGGUUAUCUAUACAGUUACUGACUACAGAUUUUGGACUGCCAGUUUCUAUGAGUACUUUAUGUGAUUUUUUUCUGAUAAAAAUCUCUUCUGACUUGGAAGAAUCGGCCAUUCUGGAGAGCAGAAUUGGCUUUGUCUCAGUGGUAACUUAUUUUUCUGUUUUAUGUGAAUAGUGACUGCCAAUUGUGCUAAAGUGAGGGUGAUGGUUUUGUGAUGGACUACUUUACACAGGGAUUGAACAUUAGAACACUGAGCUUAUUUUACUGGAGACCAAGAAACAAAAGGUUUUAACAUAGCAGCUUUCCUCCCCUUAAGCUGAGACCAAGUGACUAGUUCAGGCCAAUGAACUAUAAGUGGAAGGACAUAUGUCACUCUGGACACCUCCUGGACAAGGUGGUUUGAUCUGGCAUGCACGUUCCCUUUCUCUACAAUUAUAUAGACUAUACUAAUCAUUGCAAACAUGAAGGGUCGGUUUAUUGUUUAACUAUAGUAUAAGUUACAUAAAUUAUUACAUGGGAUGAGAACACAUUAUGAGAUAUCCUUAGUCGAUUUAGCUUAUAUUAUCUUGUGAGAAUGUACAAGUGCUACUUUAUCAGAUCUCUUCAGAAAAGAGGUGUCCUUUGGUAUCUCAAAUGAAAAAGAAGUUGUGAGUGGAUAUUAUUGUUGCCAGUUUCUGUGGAAUAAAAUUGAUAGGCAAGGACUUCAAAAACACAAAGUCGGAAUGAAGUCAUGGCCCUGGAGCUUUCUAUGAUGAAAUCUGUUUGUCUCUUCCAAAACAGGGAUGAAGGAGGCAGAGAUCAUUGACAGAUUGGAAGUGUGCUUAGAGCCUUUGAAAUUGUUCCAGGAUAUACUUUCCCUACAGAGGGCUGAUAAUCUGGUGCAAAUAAUAUCAGAUAGUUACUAAAUGUUAUUUUCAACAGAAAAUUUUAAGAACCUUUAUUGAAAUCUUUGCUGAAUGAUAUGUAUGCCUUAGACAGUGAACUUUUCACUGAUGUAUAAAAAGAACCUAUUUAUUAAUUUAUGACUUGACAAGAAUAAGACUAUCUUUCCUGAUUUUUGGCUUAAAAGUUUUCUAAAAUAUAUUAUUAUGUCAUCACUCACUUUAUGCAGUUGUGUUUUUGUUGCAAAUGACAGAAACCUGAUACAAAUAUCCUAAAGCCGAAAGAGAAGUGUUCACAUUAUAAAUCAGAGGAGAGGCACAGAUACCAAUGUCUUCCAGGUCAACUAGCACCGGUAAUUCUAUUUGCCCAGCAUUUUGAACUCUCUUCUGCUUCUUCAGAGGGUAGCUUUGUUUAUUUAUAUUGCUAUUCUUCCCCUGGCACAAGGAAGAUGCUUACCAACAUUUCAGCCUCAUCUUCAGCUCAAAUUUGACACUAGGAAGACUGCCACUAUUCCCUAAGUUAUACUUUGACCAAUUCUAAGGAAGAUCACUGGGACAUGGCCUACUUUGUAUUUGCCCUGCAGGCAGUGGAUGAAUGAGGGACUGACAUUGGCAGCCUGAGCGAAGCUAUGUAUCUGAGAUAGGAAAGGAGCAGUUCCCUAAUGGAAGGGCACUACUGUUCCUUGAGGAAGGAAGGAUUCUGAAGAGACAAAGUAUUAAUAAUAAGCACUUACUACUCUAGUUUUUUAAAAGAGAUUAAUAUGUUAGUUUCAAGAAUAAAAAUAUGUUGGGUUUUACUAGUCACUCAUGGGGGAAUUUGCAUUUAGAUGUCUAUAGGUUACGUGUCAAAAUGAAUAUAUCAUUAUCUGUUGUUCAUAAGAAUUGGAUAAGCCUGCACAACUGCAAAACUUAUUUACCUUAGAAUUUUUGUAGAUAGGUGUUAUCACCCUGGACUUUACUGACGUGGAACACAACUCCCUUAAGCUAUAAAAGUAAUAAUAAUUACACUUAGAAUAGUCCUAAUCACUGGAAGGGUGUUAAGUGUGAAGUUUUGGAAAGCUUCUGUGGAAGUUUUGAUGGAUUUUUGAAAACUGAUGAACAACUGUUGAUCCACAGCUUUGAAUUAUUCUGAUUAGAGUGAGCUGCGCAUGACUGUAGCAUUCUGUUGGCUUAUGGUUUUCUGCUUCGGCCCUGCAUCACAUGCAAUCGAUUAUUGGAUUAGCGGCAGUCAGUGGAAGCAACCUGUAUAUUUUCUCAGCACCCCAGGAAAUGAGUGUGCAUUCUUAGAAGGCUGAAAAAGAAUAAAACCAAUAAAUAGAACUCUGAUGUACUUCAGAUUUAUCUCUUCCCUUUAUAUGAUGAGUAAAGAGCAUCUGUAAAUAGGACCAUGAGAGAAAUCUGGAUAGUGAACAAAGAGAAGCAAAGGGAGAAAUACGAUGUGUUUGCAGGUGAUUUGGGGUUUCUUUUAAUUUUUCCAAUCUUCUACCAGAUAAUCCAGUGUUCAUGUAUAUGACUUACAUUGAUAUAGAAAUACAAGAAUCGGCUUGGUGCAGUAGCUCAUUCCUGUAAUCCCUGCACUUUGAGAAGCCAAGGCGGGAGGACCAUUUGAGUACAGGAGUUCAAGACCAGCCUGGACAAUGUGGUGAAACCCUGCCUCUACCCAAAACACAAAAAAUUAGCAGAGUAUAGUACUGUGUGCCUGCGGUCCCAGCUACUCAGUAGGCUGAGGUGAGAGGACAACUUGAGCCCAGGAAGGGAGGUUGCUGUGACCUGAGAUGGCACUGCUUCACUCCAGCCUGGGCAAUAGAGCAAGACCCUGUCUCA